rnacentral:rRNA from 1 species
GACGAACGCUGGCGGCGUGCUUAACACAUGCAAGUCGAACGGUGAAGCGCCUUCCUUUUUGGUGGGUGUGGAUGAGUGGCGAACGGGUGAGUAACACGUGAGUAACCUGCCCCCUUCUUCUGGAUAACCGCAUGAAAGUGUGGCUAAUACGGGAUAUUCUGGGUCUGUCGCAUGAUGGGUCUGGGAAAGAUAUUGUUUCGGUGGGGGAUGGGCUCGCGGCCUAUCAGCUUGUUGGUGGGGUGAUGGCCUACCAAGGCGGUGACGGGUAGCCGGCCUGAGAGGGUGGACGGGCACACUGGGACGGAGACACGGCCCAGACUCCUACGGGAGGCAGCAGUGGGGAAUAGUGCACAAUGGGCGAAAGCCUGAUGCAGCGACGCCGCGUGAGGGAUGGAGGCCUUCGGGUUGUGAACCUCUUUCGCCAGUGAAGCAGGCCUGCCUCGUUUGUGGGUGGGUUGACGGUAGCUGGAUAAGAAGCGCCGGCUAACUACGUG